UAAAUAAGACAAGGUGAUUAGGAUGGACACGUCUGCAGUUAUCACAGCUGAAGUAAAUUAACUGUGAGUCUGAAACAUUACACAAUGUGUUUGCAGGAGUCUCAUACUUUCUAUGCAUUUAAUCAUUGCACUAAACAACUCUGCUGUUUGGAGACUUUGGAGAUGUAGUUUGCAUCAUCUCAAACUGCAGCAGGACUUUUAUUCCUUCAGAAGGUUAAUGUUACUAAACGCUGGUUUACAUUAACCUCACCUGGAGUCAAACUUCUUCCCGUCAGUAUGGAAGCUCCCGUUAAAGUGAUAUCUGAUAAAAUCUUCAGUCUGAACUUCUCGAGGACAAACUCUUGGGAUGUCGUACCGAUCCACAACCACAUCCUCCAUGGGCCCGGGGCUGCUUCUCACACAGACUGCAUGGAGGAAAAAGAGGACUGAAGUGACUCUUGGAUCCAUUUGGAAAAGUUGCAAAUAAGUGCGGAAGUUCGCUGCGCAGAGAUCCCGUCUGCCAGCGGGGAGAUGCGGCUGGAGUGAAGGGAGAAGGACGGCAUCAAGUUCUGGACAGAGUAGCACUGUCAAACAUACAGGGAUAAGAUCAUUCACUUCCGCUUAGAGCUACAAAAUAAUUACCAUAUAAAUAACUUAGAAGAGGAAAGCCAAAUGUGUUCAACAGGAUGCAAUAUCAACCUGAGAAAAAUGACUCCUCUGUUUGUUCUCCUCAGUGCACUUUGCAUGAAUGUUAAAUCUACAGAGACUGAUAAAGAACCAAUGUGAUAUUGAUCUGACAGCAGAUUUAUUUUUAUUUUUACAAACUAAUAGCUACUUAGUGGCAAAUGAAAAAUGAGCUGUUUCUUUAAAACUGUGUCCCUCUUUAGUUUCCAUUUUUGAAAAUUAAAACUGCCUUUCUAAAUGUUUAACAUGUAACAGAGACUUUUAUGUAACUAAACAUAUUGAUAAAAUCUGGCUUUUAUGAAGGGACUAACAA